GAAUUGAAACAAGUUUGAAAGCUGCGUUAGCCAGAGGCUUUAAGGAACAGUGAUGAAAAAAAAAUAGGAAUUUACAUUAGAAAAUUCUCACAGGGAAAAUGGUUAUAAAGCUACUAGUGUGAACGAUUAAACAUACAUGAAACGAUCGUAUUUUAUUUUGUCCCUUUAAUUAUAAAUGAUUUUUUAAACAAUUGCAUUCCAGAGAUGACUUGCCCUGCCCCCUCCCCUUCACGCCCCCUCUCCCAGCACAGUUCACAAUCGACUCCCCUCACCCCCCAAUGCUUAUGCAACCCCAGGAGUCAUCUUCUUUUCUGAAAAGUCUGAAGAAUAGGCAGUUCGCUUUUCUUAAGGGAAAGUUUAAAGACCACGUCAGCGCGGCGGGGUUUUGGAAGCACUGGUCUUAAACUCUGCCCACGAUUUUUAAAAGAAAAUUACAAGCUCCCUUGUGUUCUUGGGAAUAUGCAAAUGACGUGGCGCGUCCUCCCUGUUCCGCAGCGCGGAGGCUGAGUCUCCAGCCGCAUACCCGUCGGGCUGCCUGGGAACGGGAACCGCGCCGCCCGCCGCGGAGCGCGCGCCCUUUCUCCGCACCCAGGGGCUUCAGGCGCAGGCUCAGGACUGGGCAGUGCAGGCACCCGGCCUGGCCAGCUGUUGCCCGAGUCGCUGUGCCCUGCAUCUCUCCUGAGCUUGACGUCUGCAGUCUGUGGUUUUCUUUGCGUACUUCAACUACCGCACACACUCCUGUGGAAGCGCAGGGUUUUCUUUCUUUCGGUGGUCAGCUGUUUUUCUGGUUUCUAAAGAUUUGUUAAUUUGGAGGUAGCCUGCUGGAGUUGGGACAUGUAGAAAAUAACACCUGCGUUUAAUCCUAGUAGCUGUGUGUUCCAUGACCCUGAACCUCCAUUUUGACUCCUCUGGAGCGGUCCAGGAGGCAAUGCAUCUUAGAGGUGUGGGCACGAGGUGCUUCUAGUCAGUGCUGGGGUCAGGAUUUGUUUGCAGGCUUGGAUCUGGACACGAAAAAUGCGAGACAGUGCCUAAAAAACGCCCCUAAAAUGCCUUAGAGCUGAGCUGAGGUGGUGUCAAUCACCUGCGCCUGGCUAGGCCAGUUUUGGACCCCACCCCCGGAAAGAAAAACAAACAAAAAACAAAAAACCUUAAUUUAGCACUUAGGGACUGAAAGGAGCCUAAUCUCUAGCGGCUCUUGGGACUACUUUUGGGGUCUCUGCAGUCAGUCUCCUGAGGCAGGUUUCCUUCCCCUAUCCCUUUGUGCAGGCCAAAUCAGUUUAAACGAUUUAGUAGUCAAAGAAGAAAUAUCCUGGUGAAAUCUCGAGGGCGAAUGCCAGGGCCUUGAGAAAUGGCAAAGAGGGUCCUUCUCCCAGAAGUGAUGUAUCAGGACCUGGAAAAAGUGGUUCACAGUCCGAGUGAAGAGCCUGUGCCUGUGCGAGGCCUUUGACGUUGUGAACACCUUCGGACCACUCAUUGACAUUUACUAUCCAAAUCUUGGGGCCCAAAGGAACUCAGGGAAGGAGGGUCAUGCGUGUGGCUUGGGCCCAAGCCAGGCCUUCCAGCUCACCUGUUCCCUACAAGUAACAUGCUACUCUGGUGAAAGCUCGGGGCAGGUCAAUUCAAAGCGCCCAAAGUGAAAGGAACAGAAUUGAACUCUCAAGAUGAGCCCGGGGCUUGCAGGUUAGGAAGGGCGCCGCCUACUGGUCCCCGGAGCCACCGGGUUCGCAGUGAGGAGCUGGGCCAAAACUGGCCAGGCCCGCAUUCACUGCCCUGCCCUGGCUCUGCACUUCAACUGGGCGACCUCAAGCUGCUUCCAACUUGCCUAGGUCCUGGACUCUAUGACCUAGUAAGCCCUGGGAAGUUGGGUAGCAGGCCCUGAUUAAAUCAGUUUUAACUAUACAGAUGCAUGUCCUAGCUAACUCACUGUUUCAAAAGUCAGACAGCAGGCAAUUGAGAGGUGUAGGCACCCAAGUAGCCUGCAGGUCUAGGCUUAAGCAGACUGCAUGUGGGGGAUUUAGCGAGAGUAUGAUCGUGGUCCACUCCGUUUCCCGUGUACCCUGUUUCUGCUUCUGUUGGUCCUUCCACGCUCGUGCGCCAGGAACCCCACAAAAUCUUGUUUAAUUUGUGGUUUGCCAUUUCCGGAGGAACAUACCAGGCCACUAACCCAGCAACACCGUUUUGGCUCGUGUGUGGACAUUACAAAAUAAAGGAAGGAUUAUUUCCCCUUCACUUUGCUUCGAACCCUCUCAUUUCAACAGUACCUUUAAUGGCGUUGGAGUGGCAAAGCUCGCAGUGCUCACCUCGGCUAGCAAGUAAGGCACAGAAGUGCCAUAGGGUGGUUGAGGAGGAGGGUAGGGUGUGUCCUUGGAUUGGCUCUGAGCGUUCCUUGCCUCUCGGCGGCCAUCGAACUGGACAGAAAUCAGACCCGAAUGGGACCUUGCCGUCCACUUUCUUCGCUAGCCAAAGCUUUGGCAAUGUUCCUAGGCCCAACCUGCACGUCUGCCUCUGUGGCCAGGUUAGACCCUCUCUCCUUUUCGUUUUCCCUACAAAUACAAACCUGAGCCACUGACAGUGGGUAGAUUGGGCCUAACAAGAGAACGCCCCCGGGGCAGGUCUGAAACUCUGCUCGGCCUGCCCCACGGGGCUGCUCCGGGUCUUCUGCCUCUCUUGGGCUCCAGUCCCCAACCCUGGGUUCCCCAAGGCUGUUCGCCCGGCAGCGCUGGCUUCUGACUCCGGAACGAGUCCCGCGCGCCCAGACGUCACUUUCCCAGUGAAACCUGCUUUUAUUUGCUCCGAGCAAACCCCAGGCUCUCAGCGCUCCCGCCUGAUGGAUGCAAAUGUAAAUGUGCACUUAUUUAAUUGGAUCAGGCCCCAAGAUAAAAGAGAUAAACGGCUCCCCGUUUGCUAACUUAUUUUCCGAGGCAUGCAGCGCCGCGUGGAGGGGAAGCUAAUGAAGGAGCUGCGCAUUGCUCGGCUCUGCAGCUCUUCGCAGCGGUGGUGCACAGACAGGCCCGCACCGCGAGGCCUGCGCCACCUCAUCGCACUCCUUUUCGCAUGCCCUCAAAGCCUGGUGGUGUUCCCCCUGGAACCCUCUGUGCGGCCUGGCUGGGAAGAUGGGAAGGCCAGGAGGUGUUGUCUCUUUUGCAAAUACUGGCUCCUCGUCGUUCCUCACCUCGACUUGUCCCCCUCUGCCUUCUUGCCUAACCCUGGUGUUUGGGUCACAGCAGCUAAGUGCAUUAGAUAGAAACUCCUUUAUUCCCCAGUCAUCCCUUCCACCUUAGGUGGAUGCGGGUGAGUGGAGAGUGGACCUCCUCUCCUGUCUUCAGUCAGGUGAAGCGGUCCUCAACAUGAAAGGACCCCUUUUCUGUCCCUACAGGGCCUUCUUUUGGAGCCUGAAUUUGCUUUCAGAAUCGCCUGGAAUCCCUGGACCCCCCCCCCCAAUACUCUAUGCAUUCAAUACACGACACAAUAAUUUCAAAGUGUCUCGGAGUCCGGACAACUAACUAUUCUGAAGGAAAGAAUUGCCUGACUCUUCCCUCCUUGAGACAGCAGUUUAGACCUCCAGAGCCAGUGGAUCCGCUUGUGCGUCUCAAAUUGGGCUUCCGGUUUCUUGGAAAAGUUUCUCUUCUGUUCAGAAAGAUGAAGGUUGAUGAGAGUGAGUGUAAAGGAGAGGAGAGGGGCUCUCUGGUCAGGGACGCUCUCCCAGUUAGACCCAGCUUCCAGAAUCUGGUCUGGACUGGAAAUCUGUUCUUCGAGGGGUUGGACUGGGCAGCACCGAUGUCGCUAACAUGCUGGGUCCCAACGAGCUGAUGGAUGGGCUUGUCAGGAAAGCUGUGUGCGCGGAGCAUUUACCUCGCUAAACUGAAAUUACUGUCUUUUCAGGGGCUAAUUUGUGUAACUCCCAUGGAGGGGCCUGGAGGGGGUUUGAUGAGGCAUAAAAUGAUGAUUAAUGAAUUUAUUGGCCGCUGUUCAUCAAACAAGGGCUCAAGAGCUUCCAUAUACAUCCGGAGCCUGGCUGCGGCGCUCAACCCAGCUGGGAUUCAGCCUCCGGGUUCCAGCGCCUACAAGGGUUUUCCCACGUGUCCGGCUUUGGAUACAUUUCUUUGCUUUCGUCCAGGAUGCUUCCUGUGGGCGGUCCUGGACCCCAGAUUCAGAAGUGAGAAUGGAAUCCGGAGGUUCUGGAAGAGGAGAGCGGGUUCUAGCUGCCCUCCAUCGCCCCCUGCGGGCAAGAGGCUCAAGCCUGGGACAGGGCUGGGCCUGGUGCAGUAGGACACAGCUUGAGACAGGGCUGUCUCUAAUGUUCAAGCUGACCUAGAACUCCUGGGUUCAAGAUCCUGCCACUGCCUCCUGAGGAGCUGGGACUUCAGGCCUGCUGCUGCACCAACCCACUAGGCAUAUUGUCACCACACUUUGGAAAAGAGUACCAACUUCUUUUACAGGUGUAGAAACCAAGAACUUGAGAGAUGAAGAUUCUUACUAACAUCUCACAGCCAGUGGCUGGCAGAGCCUCAUGACCUGGUGCCUCUGUCCCAUGCCAGCUUUCUGAGAACUCCUUUCUUUCUUUCUUUCUUUGUUUCUUUCUUUCAUUCUUUCUUUCUACCCUUCCUUCCUUCCUUCUUCCUUCCAUCUUCCCUCCCUCCUUCUCUUCCUUGCUUUUUUAUUUUUUCUUUCUUUCUUUUUUAAUAGUUUUUUUUAGUUUCUUUUUAAUGUGUAUGAAUGUUUUGUUGUCAUCCCUCUCUGUGCACCACUCACAUUCCUGUUGCCCAUGGAAGACAGAAAAGGGCUUUGGAUCCCCUGGAAUCAGAGUCAUAGACUGUGCACCACCAUUUGAGUUCAGGGAAUUGUGCCUGGGUUCUCUGGAAGAGCAGUCAGUGGUGCCAUCUCUCCAGCCUUGGGGGUAUUCCCAACCUCAACCCAGAAUAAGCUUCUUGGAAAGCCAGGACUAGACAGAAGAACUUAUGACCUGCUUAUGGAGAGCUUGUGUCCCUCUUUCUCUUUUGGUCUAUGAUGUCACUCUGUUCUGCUAUCUGGAAUAUGUAAAGGUGAAAGACCUUGGUCUGUUUUGUCUUUUACAGCAGAGGGUAGAGGGGGAGGAUAGGAUCUAGAUCUUCACCUCUGAGGAAAAUGUGUGGAAAUAGUGGAAUUGUGAUUCAGGGGACCCCAGGAUGGAUCCAAAUGGAUGGCUGCCGUCUCCUUUCAAGAGGGUCUGCCUGCAAGCAUCCCCAUGCUCCCUAUAUCUAACCACUCACAAGUGAGGCAAACACUGCAGUGACAAAGAGACCUUGAUUGGUGUGGUGGUUUGAAUAAAAAUUACCCCAUAGGUCCAUAGAGAGUGGCACUUUUAGGAGGUGUGACCUUGUUGGAGGAAGUGUGUCACUGAAGGUGGACUUUGAGGUCUCAGAUGCUCAAGCCUGGCCCAGUGUGGUAUUUUCUUCCUACUGCCUGAAGAUUCAGAUGUAGAAUUCUCGGCUGCCUCUCCAUGUCUGCCUGCAUGCCACUGUGCUUCCUGCCAUGAUAGUAAUGAACUAAAACCCUGAACUGUAAGCCAGCUGUGGUCAUGUUGUCUUUUCAUAGCAAUAAAACCCUAACUCUGACAAUAGUAUUCCCAAGUGAAGGACAUUGGGUACCAAACUGUAAUGCCACUUAAGGCAAUGCCUUUACUCCUGCUCUCUUCUUUUCUCCCUGCAUGGGUGACCAGGUACACUGCACGCUACUCAGCCUGUAAGUAAGUCAUGUCUUCCAAUGGUGUUACUGCCACACCUGACUAAGCUUGCAGAACCCUCUUGCUCUAAGCCUUGCACCCAACUCCUUAACAUAAUCUUCAACCCAAAUAACCACAUGCAACUCCAAAAUGUUUCCAACAGAAGCUUGGAACCCUCUGUAACUUCAGAUCAGCACCUUCUCUCAGCCUCACUCAGCUUCCAGUAAAAACACAGGAAUCUUCUUUUCCCCAUACCUCCUUCAAAUUCACUCUCAAGUCCUUGGUAUCCUUUUAAGUGACCUCUGUCAAUGCUCUCCUUGCUAUGCUCUAGUCUGAGCCUUCAUGUCUGGCAAGGACUAAACCAUGUCCUUCCCAUGUUUUCCUUGCCCAGUGGCCGUUGUAGUAGCACCGGUGCGAGCCCAUAGCUUGCUGCCCUGGGUACUCAGCACAGAUUGAUGGAAAUGAUGACAAAUCUGCAGAUCUCAGGCCAGUGUAUUCUCUGUACUUUCACAAAGAAUGUGCUCCUGAACUCAGAAUGAACUCAGACAUCAGACUGAUGUGUGUUCAAGUCCUGGCAACUGCCCUCUGUUGUUUGAAGCACACUAGUGAAUCCAGGCAAAAUGGCCAAAAGUAUAGACAGAGAGGUCCCAAACCAGGACCUGUGGGAUGGGAAGGCCACUAAGCGUUUUGCCUGUCUGGUCUCCUUCUCCAUGUGGGCCAGUCACCAGCUAUGGGACUUUGGGUGAGUUCCUCUGGGUAAGUUCUUCUGCCCCUCUGAACGUCAGUAUCUUCAUCAGUAAGAUUGCAGUGUGUGUGUGUGUGUGUGUGUGUGUGUGUGUGUGUGUGUGUGUGUGUACGCGCUCGUGCAGGCCUCUGGUGGUAAAUGAGACAAGGCAUAUAAGCCUUGUAACAAAUAUUGGCUGGGAUCAUGCCUACCCAACGAGGAUGGCUUUAUAAGGAAAAAAAACAAAAAACAACAAAAAAAAUUCCUCAGACUGUGUAGCCUGUCUUCUUGUUCUUUGCCACCUCACAUCUUUUUGCUGACCUACCAUGUUUAAGAUGUCUUGAGUUUAAAGCAAAAUGAGAAAUGUAUUUUAAGAAAUACUCCUUACAACAUUAUUUCAUUACUUAAACUGCCUGCUGACUCAUCUGUCCCUUGGUAACUGAGUCUUUCUUUACCAAUAACUUUAAUUACAUCAAUCACUCAUGUCCCAAACAGCUGAAUAAUGAAAACUCCCAGAGGUGACACCAUGAACUUCUGUCACACAAGCAGGGGCUUGUGGCUGCAGAGCUGCUUGUUCUUUCUCUUUCGAAAAUAGCACUCAGAACUUCAAACAGGAGGCAUAUGUUUAGUUUUUACAAUUUACUACCUGUCUGUCUAGCUCCUUAUCUGUCUGUCACUAGCAAUCUUCAGAGUAGGAGGAAAUGACUAUACAUAACUUCUUGAAUUUAGUCAAAUCUUUUCAUCUUCUGACAUUUCUAAGUCAUGAGUCGCAAGUCUGCCCUGAGGGUUAAAUACAGAGUACACAGGAGUUCCAACACCCAUUCUUUUAUUGAAAGCUGCUAAUUGCACUGUUCAAGAGUAAAGAUGUUACCUAAACAAUUAUCUUGUUAGCAGUAAUAAUAGCUACUUUAUUAAGCACUUCAUACAUGCCAAUUAUUACAGCAAAAGAUGUCAGAGGGACCUCAGGAAACCCUGCUGCACUUAUUGUCCCCAUUUUACAGAUAAAGAAACGAAGGCUCAGCUAGAGGAUUUAUCUGAAAACAGACCAAGGUAGCAAAGAGUCUGACAAUGCCUCAUUGUCAUUCUCUGCACAGGGACAGCUCCAGGAAAGAGUGGCAGACCACUUUAAGAAUGAUCUAACUGUUUUUCUGGCUCUCAGACUGGAAGAGAGUAGAAGGAGGAACUUUUUAAGCUUGCACUUCAUCUGAUUCUGAGACCAAGCAGUGAUCAUCUUCAGUUCGGUGAGAGGAGAGCCAUGUGGAGUGAUUGAAAUCUUACAGAGUCCCACCUUAAAGUGCAUUCUGUCUCCUCCAAGCUCUGGUCCUCUCAGCACAGACUGGCUCAUUAGCCUCUUAUUCAUUCUCUGUCUCCAGGCCAGCAGAGGAGCUAUAGAAGGAUGCAGAGCACCAGAGAAACAAAACCCAAGCUUAGAAAAGCCGCAGAAUUUCUGUCUGUGAUUUGAAGCCCUUUAUUGACCCCAGGCUCCAAUAUAGGCCCAAGUCUCAGGGCUUCUCCUGGUACAUUGUGUUGGAGUCACAUUGCUUGAACACUAAUUUUCCCCUGGUUUGUUUCCUCUGCCUCAAGCUGCGGGCCCAAAUAAACAUGUCCUUGGUUGUUUUUUUGUCAUGUCUUUUGUCACAGUCACGGGAAAAGUAACUAGAGCAACCUUGGGUACUCUGACUCUCAGUUUUUCUACCCAAAGAAUGAGACACAGUCAUAGUGUUAAGAAUAUUUCUUUUUCCAAGACAGGGUCUUGAUGUUGAAGCCCAGGCUGACCUUGAACUCAUAAGCCUCCUGUUUCAGCCUCCUGAAGUGUAGGUGUACUUCACCACACCUGGCUUCAGGAGGGCACCUUAAAGUCAAUGUGCUGUUCACUACCUCAUAGGACUGCUAUGAGGAUUCAAGGUGAUUGUCACAGGUGGUUUCCUAGGUCUCUUAAGGAACAAACAGACGUAGAGGGUCCAGACUUCCCCUAAGAGAACUUACAAUGAGACCCGACUUGGCCCACCAGGGCUGUUAGUCCCUCACCAGCUGUCUCCUUCCUCCCUCUUUUCUGAGGGACACCUCUUUUGGUUUGGGGUGACAAUUUAUCCAGCCCCAGAGAAUAAAUUACUUAUAUCCGAACCAGUUAUGACAAUUUGAUGCCCCUUUGCAAGAGGCUCACUUUCCAAGCUUCCCUGUAGCUCAUGGGCUGGGGGACCCAUUCUGGCCAGGUGUGUGUGAAGGUAAGCCUUUUGCAUUUCGGAACCUCAGGCUACUAAAAUGAGGAGGGACCAUAGAGCAGCAGUGCUAAACCCAAAGGGAAGUUCCUCUUUUUCUGUUUCAAAGAUGUUUUCAGUUCAUAUGUGAGUAUAACUUCCCUGCCUAAAACAUCUAAUGGCUCUCAAUAGCCCCCAGAGAUGAUUUCCUGAUAGGCAUUUAAUGAGUGAAGUACCAUUGAUCCUACUGAAAGGAGAAGGAGAAAGUGCAGACUGCCACUCUGGCUUUUACAGGCAGCCCCUAAAAACAUCUACAGAACAGUACACAGAAAACCACCAGGUGAGAGCCGUGGAUACAGCACAUUUUGUUAGUUUUGGUUUUCUUUUUAAAUAAACACCCAGAUUUCAUCUUAGCCCCUGAUUUUCUCCCUGGACACACCUCUCUCCUCCCCUGUAUCCUUAACUUGGGAUGCUGUUAAUUCACUCCUGGGUCCCAGGUGAAACGAGUGACUGAGGCAUAGCCAGCACUCCAUCCUUUGAAUACAGAGACUGGCCUGGGGACAUCCAGGCCUACAAUACUGUUAUUAAAAUUGAUGAGAAGUAGACACUUCCACUUCUUCAACCCUAAUGCACCCUACUGAGCUUGAAUCCCAGGACUGUGACAAUUGAGAAUGAAGGUCCAGUGGAAGAGAACAGAGAUGAAACAUGGAAGGGGACCAGAUCUUAGUGGCUUUGACCCCUUGCAUUAAGCUUUGCCCGAAGACUGCUGGGGCUACCAUUGGACUUUUGGUAGAGAGAGUGAGUAUUUCUGUUUAUUUAAGUAGCCUAAGUUUCACUUUUUAUUACUUCUAACCUGAAGAGUCCUAGCGAUAACAGAUCUCCUCCAGACCUAGGAUCGCCGGAGAUAUCCAGUCAUUCUGGUUGUCCUCCCAGGUGGCUUCGCUCUCCAACACAAUGUACAUAGAAUUGAAAAGUGUUGCUGCCAGUGAGAUACUAAAACACAGUAUAGUUUACCCUCCACUCCAUUCCUGAUGAUAAUAGCCCCAGACAGAGGAUGUGGGAUCUCGACCUUGUUAAUCUUUAAUGGAUGCAUACCAUGAGAGAGAAGCAAACACUUGUUUGAAGCCAUUGAGACACUGGGUCAUUUGUUACAGCAUCAAACCUUAUCUUGUGCUUUGAGUUUUCAAAGUUUUCAUUUCCACCCUCCCUCUGCCUGCCAUUUCUGUUUUCUAUCUUGUUUUUCCUUAUCCUCCUUUCCCUCCCCAUCCCUUUUCUUCUCCCCUCCGCUCUCCUGUUUCAUUGCUCUGCCCAUUAUAACCAUUUCUUGACUUCUUUCCGUCAACAGACCAUUAAAAGGAUUCUCUGAUUGCUCACCCCCUGCCUUCCCAGCAAUAUCCAAGCAGACAUUGGCAGGAGAUAUCCAGCCUGCCCCGGCAAAGUCGUACCCCUGGCAUCUUCACCAGUGUCAAUCAAUUACAGCUGUCAAUCAUUCAUUCUUGCCAGCACCAGUCCCAGCAGGCUAACUUCCAAUCAUAUUACUAGACACAUAGUGUUCCAAGUUCUGGAAUAAAACCCUCUUCAGAAAUUCCUAUUCAUUAUCUCCUAAAAAUCCACAGGAUUCUAAAGUUUGUAGUGUGGUAUUAACAGCACAUUGUUCUACUAAGACAAAACACUAGCAAUGGCAAGUGCCUCAUCCUUAGCUGUUAAUGAGCCAGUUCUGGAGCUGAUGAGCUCCUGAAGCCAUUGGCCCACAAUGCUCCCGUACCCCUUGCUGUAUCUAGCAAGGUGCUGACCCACAGCUUUGGAAAAGACUAAGUUCUUCUGAAAACACAAAAAUAAAACUAAAUUGUUGCUGAAGCUCGGAUGUGCUUCAUGAGCACUCUGCAGGACAUUUGUAAGAUGUGGGGGGUCUCAAAGCAUGUCCUCUGUGGGAGGAGUGGGGACUGCAGGGACCAUUACUGACACAUACCUUCUACAUUCAGCACUGCAUAGGAAUGUGGACAUAAUGUUGCCAGCCCCACAACCCCUGUCUCCAAGGGAAACUUGGAAUCUGUAUACAUUUCCAAUUAUAUCAUGUUUUCCCUAAAUCACCAUGAGGUUCCAGCUCAGUUGUUAUGGUUUGGAUAUGACGUGCCUUUCCCUUCCCCCAAACGGCUCUCAUAUCAAGGGUCUGGACCUGGCUAGUAGUGCUAUUUGGAGAGGUAAUGGAAACUCUUGGAGAACCUGACUGAAAAGGGGUCACUGUAAGCAGUUCCUUGGGCCUUCUUCCCCCUUUCCUGAUGUAGUCUCUGCUUCCUGGACAUGGAGGUGGAGAAUCUCACGUUACACACUUCUCAGUAACACACUCCCACUGCCAUGAUGUUCUGCCUAAGCACAUGGAACCAAGUAACCAUGAGCCAAACCCCCUGAAAUGUCAAGCCCAAAUGGACAUUUCCUCACCUGAGUUGCUUCUGGCAGGUAUUUCACCCUGGUGAUAAGAAAGGUAAUGGAUCGGUACAGUCACAGCUACAGGGAGACAUUUAACAGUGUAUAAUACACAGAUGGCCUCAUCCCCUUCCAUCCUGCACCAACCAUGUCCGUUCCACAGACUGGGAGAACCAAGCUCAGAAAGAUGAAGAAGUGAUGGUGUUCUAUCCUGCUACCAGCAAUCUCCUCCCACACUUUGCUAUUACCAAGUCCUGCCAUCUUGGAAACCACACAUGGAAAAAUCAAAGGACCACAGCCGACUCCCUCAAUCUUCACUUGGAGCUCCAUUUCUGGCUUGACAUCAAAGACAGACAAAUUUCCAUUGUGGUUGAGCUGUUAUAUAUGUUCCUCUUUGGUCCUUACAGCAACUAGCAGCAUCUUAACCAAUCCAAACACGACCGUGUUACAGAAAACAACAUUCCUUUCCCAUCAGCAGGAGGAGAUUGUAAUGAGUGUCAUUCACUGGGAUCCAGAGAAUUCACUGGAUUCCAGAAUGACAGAGAACAUGACUCUGAUUGGUUUAGUUUCCAGUAAUGGGGUGAAGUGACCUUGCAUGUCACCACGUUUGCAACCCACCCCACACUUGGCUUUCAAGGAGGCCCUGUUCACUCUUCAGCUGAGGUGAGUACCAUCAUUCAGCCCCUGGAGAGAGCCAACAGACAGAGCAAGUGCCUGGCCUGUGGAGGCCACACACCCUCUACCAAGAUAGGAGUCAACACGUUUGGGAACAUCAAAGACAGUUCAAUAUCUUUAGCAUAAGGAGAUUAACAUUUACAAAGGUUUGCCCUUCAGCCUGUUCCUGGGAAUUGGCAGAUAUAGCCAGAAGGGACAAUUAACAUCACCCAUCUGCCCUGGGGUCUUCUGGCAUUUUCUAUUAGAUUUACUUUUCUCUUUUUUGAGAUGGCCUCAUAGUCCAGGAUGGCCUGGAAAUGGUGGUCCUCCUGCCUCAGCUUUCUGAGUACUGGAAUUAUAGGCAUGCACCCCGCCCAUACUCAGGCCUCCCAUUAGAUUUUCUUAUUGAUUUGGGGUGCAGGAGAGAAGCAAUGAUGGCCUUAGUUUUGAGUAAGAACCCCGUAAGAACAGGGAGAUACUGCAGUGUACUGGGCAUGGCAGCAUGGAUAGAAGUCCAGGGAGAGGAGCCUGUCCUUCUCCGGGCAAGGCACUGGUACUCAGAGCAGGGAAGGAGGAAGAGGGGGUACCUAACUUCCUACACCAUGGUCAGUACCCUCCUACACUGGCCCAGAAGCACAGAAGCACAGAGGAGGAUGAAGCACGGGCUUGUCUGCAGCAAGAGGCCAAGAGUUCCCACCACAUGCCAAGUACCAGCCGUAUAGGCAGUGGAUAGGGACCAAAAUCCCUCCCAGCUGUUGGAAACCAUAGCCUAUUCAGAGAUAAUUGGCAAUUAGUUAAACAACUCCUGUUCAGAACAUGCCUUCUCCCUACCCUCCAAGACAGCUGUGUUUAAAAAGAGGUGGGGCUCCUCCUGAAUCUGAAACCCAAUCUUCCAGUCCAUAAAACACCAUAGAACUUGGGGAGCCAAUGAGUUAAGGGACAGAAAACUGUCCAGAUAGUAGAAUCUCUUUCUAAGAGUCUCUCUUGAGUGUCACACAGGGUGAAGACUACAGCCUCUGGGGGUCGACAAACCCAGGUGUGAGCACCUGCUUUGCCACUUCCAGCUGAGGGAACUGGAGCUAUGUGGCUUUGACUUUCUGAAUUGCAGUGUGGAUGGUGAAAAUACUGUGAAGGUUUGGUGAGAUCAAGUACAGGGCUGAUCACAAUGCCCCAGAGUGUUGACUCAUUGGAGUUCAGGCUUAUUUAAGCUGAGGUCCCCUAUCCUGGCUCUCAUGGCCCUCUGCAAUUGAUCUCCAACCUAUUACUUCAGAUUGGUCCUCCUUCCACAUUCCCUGUGGUCUAACAGUCAAGAAAAUCUGAUAUCCUGGGCCUCAGUUCUCUAAUCUGUAAAAUGAAUCCCAUGAAUUAUUCUCCCUUACAUGCCAGCCAGUCGCCGGCCAAUAGUUCUAGGCUACACCUUGGAAGAUCCUCUUUCUGUACUUUUGGUCCACAGUCCCCUCAGCUAGGACAUCCAUCUUUCUUCUCACCUCCACCUGUAGAUCUUAGUGGGCCCUCAAAGUUAGACCACAAUGCCACCAGGAAAACCUGCUGGGAACAGUUUCCUGCUGUAAAACAGCUCCAGAGUCAUACAAGUGCCCGCUUUGUUCAAAUGGAACCAUGCUUUUUAAAGGUAGAAAGUGUCCUGUGUUGGGUUGUGGAGGGAGAGAGAGAAAAGGAGAGAGGGAGACAGUGGGCAUGAAGAUUGAUUCUAGCCUCUUUUACAGUUGGCAGAUCUAACCCACUUGUGGAACACUUACCUGAGAUGGGUAACUGCUGCCCCCUGCAGGCAGGGCAGCCAUUAGCGGUGUCCCAAAGCCUAUGUUUCUCUAAUUGAGGGCUCAAUCGAAGCAGGUGGCUGAGCCCCAACUCCCCAUUCUCCUCCUGUCCUCAUCCCCACCUCAUCUUCUUCCUUAUCUUGUUUUAUUGUUGGGGGUGGUUGUUGCGUGUUAUGUUAGAGUCAUGUUAAGCUGCUUUAUGUUAGACUUAUCAACUAUCAAUAUUCAACAUGUAUCAAUGCCCAUCUUCAUCUUCCCUGCUAGACUGAGGUCAUUGAGGAUUGAACUCCUAUUGAUAUGUAAAGCCCAAAGGGGUUGGUUCAAAAUCUGGGGAGGAAUGGGGUCUUUCAUGCAUGCACAUGGUCCUCUCAAGAGCAGUGAGUGGUGCAUCUGUUUAGCAGCUAAUGUGUGCUAGGCAGGGUAGCAAGUGCUCUCUGGAUCAAUUUAAUGAUUAAUUAAACUAAAAUGAGUGAACAUAUGAGUAAGCAGGCAUGAGUGAUUCACUGUGCUUGGUCUCAGCUCAAGUCUAGUGACGUUUUCUUUCUAGGAAGUAGGGAAACACAGUGUCAGUUCCGAGUCCUGGUUACCUUGAGGGUCAACACAAGCACUCGGCAUUGGUCUUAGCAAAGUUCACACAGUGAACUCCGAGAAAUGUAUUAAAGCUGUCAGUUACCCAGAGAUCUGCCCUACCUCUUGUUGGAAACCUGGAUCUUACAAGCAGCGGUCAUUAUGGCAGCAACCUGAGCUGGCUUCUGGGUUUCCCCUAAACAUCUAUGGGAGCAUCUGCCUGCUCUGGAUCACAUUUUCAGGGGUGGCACUGCCCAAAGUAGUCUUGGUCCGUCCACAUCAAUUAUCAACCAAGGAAAUGCUCUGCAAACUUGCCUAAAGUAUAUAAAGUGUGCAUCUCCUCAAGCCCAUUUCACAGAGGAGGAAACUGAGGUCACAAUGGAAGAAAGGAUUGGCUCCGGGACACACUGCAAGGCAGAGCACUAGGGAUGGAACCCUGGUCAUCUCCCUGCCAGACAAGUAAGUGCUCUGCCUCCAGCUUCCUGUUCUUUGAACACUCCACCCAGGGGAGGUAUUCUAGGGACUCCUGAUGGAGGAAGCCCAACUGCCAGCAAGCCAAAGCUGUGUCCAUGGUCAUUGUCACACACAGUGAACCUCAGCAAAGUGCCUGUCAACCCCAGAGCCUCAGAGGAGACCCAGCUGGAGACAGCAAAUGCCACUCUGCCUCUCCUCCUCAGCUGCUGGGCUGAGGGUAGGUUAUGGAUGCACCCUUGCCCCAAGGAGAAGUCACCAAGACCACAGGCCACAGCUUAGUGCUCUCCGUUCCAGACCAUCCCCCUUAGAUAUCUCUCUGGACAUUCAUAGUUGCUUUGUCACUGCUUCCUUCUUGCCAAAGCCACCCACGCUCACCUCUCAUGCAGAAGCCUCUGCAAGGACCCUGGCUGCCAUCCACUCCUGUUUUCUCCACUUCACUUUCCAACAGACAAGUCAGUGGGGGCCUUAAAAAUAGAUGGAACUUUAAAUCCUGUGUGUGCAGCAGCAUCCUGGAUGCUAGAGAUACCACAUCAUAUGCUGGCUGCUGGCUACUCUGACUGCCUGCUACUAGAAGACUGAAAUUACAAAUGCCUGUUUGCAGUGUGACUCAAUGAUAAAACCUGGGCUUAGUAUGUGCAAGGUCCCAGGUUCAAUUCCCUGUACCCUCUAUCCUACGAAAAUGAUAAUUGCCCCCCCCAACUCAGUGUAAUGGGGUCAAGGAGAGAAAGAGUGUGUUCUGCCUUAAGAAUAGGCAAUAAAUUGUCCUCUGUCUAUAGAGAGUACAAAACUGGUAUGAAAACUCAUGUUAUCACAGUGGCAGCAACAUCAAUAAAAAAACAGGCGUUUCUACUUGGCCUGCAACUGUAUAUCCAUGUAGUUGAACAUUCACCCUUGGGCACUUUGGAGCCUGAAAGGGGUGUUAUUAAUAGCCACACCUAGACUGAUGUGUUGAUAUACUUAAAAUCACAACACUCAAAGGGCUAAGGCAGGAGGAUAGAAAAUUCUAGGCCAUUGGAGGUGUAUAACAAGACUUUGUCUCCUGAGAAAAAAACAAACAACCCCAAAACCUUAAACAACCAAAGAAUCAAAAUGAAAAUUGGAAUUAAGAAAAGAUGAAAAAAGAAUCCCAUUUGGAUACCAAGUGUGAACAGAGGAGGCACUUAAGUCCCUACCUGACCUGACUGCAAAGUACGUCAGGAUCCAACCCUGCUUACCUGUCUGGAUAAGUUAAUUUCUUGGUAGAGUCUACUUCCUUUAAUCCAAAAUCCCUAGGCUUAGCUCCAUAAAUGAUCCAAGUUUCUUCUUACUUUGGGGUUCUUCCUAUAAACCGAUAGGUGACACUUGUCUAGCGACAGGGACAAGGUGCUCCAGCCAGAGAGAGGGUCCACUUUCUAGAGUCCAUGGUCCUUUAUUUUGCUCUCACUCCAGGUCUACAGACUAUAGGGAUCAUUUGGAAUCUCAGCUGAAAUGUCACAUCAUUAUAGAAACAGAUCUUCCUUACUGUCAUGUCUGGAGUAGGUCUCUCCUCCAUCAUUCUUUCUCUCCCAUCUCUUGUGAACAUGUGGAUUAUCUAGUUAAUGGAAUGCUUAGUAUUUUGUGAUCCUCUCUCCCAGCAGGCUGUAAGUUCCCUGAAGUUGGAGGCUAUGUUUUUUCAUAGUGGACCCCCCCCCAGUACCUAACACAGUGCCUGGAAUAUAGCAAACACCCACUAAUCCACUACAUACUAGUUGAGUGCAUGGGUCUAUGGGUGGCUGUAUGGGUAGAUGGGUAAGUAGGUGGAUGAACGUGUGAAUGGGUAGAUGGGUGGAUGGUUGGGUACAUGAGUAGAUGGAUGAGUGAAUGGUGGAGCUGUGACCCAAACUUAGGCUGAGUCAAAUGCCCAUGCUUUCCACCACUCUCUGAUUCUGAGACUGCCAGCCUGGUAGUUAAGUAGAUCAUAUCUGGGCAACAGCCUCCUAAACUGAAGAGGUCAAGACCAAGAUUGGUGUGAAAAGAUCAGAAGAAUCAAGAGACCCAGAUGUGCAAAAUCCCUUCAGUGAAGCAGAUGUGACCCCAGGAAUCUAUGUGAGGCGGAACCAUCACAUUUGAUUGCUGGUUUCCAUUAAAGGAAUUGUAGCAGGUGCAAAAGUGGUAGAUUAUCCCAAGAAUUAAGAUAUGAAAAGGAUGUUAGAUCACUAAACUCCAAUUAGGGAAAUUAAACUGUGCACACUCCCCUCCUGAUGGAAUAUUGGGAGCUUGCAUUAGCUCUGGGCUCCGAUUCUAAUAAAAUUAGAGAAUAACACUUUAAUUGAAUUGUGCUUAAAAGGAUCAUGCUGACAAAUGUGAUUGUAUCUGGCUGGGAUGCACACUUUCUCUAGCAAUCAUUAAAUCCAGUGAGAUGUCAGCCCUGGGAUCCUGACGGGUUUCUGAAACAAUCUGUGAACUGUGCUGAUUCUUGGAAUCUAAUCAAUUUAUAACCGCCUCAUUAGGGCUGGCUGCUAACGGGUUCUUAAAAAUCAAAGCGAAUGACUACACAUCAUGGCUGACUAGCUAGUCAUAUUGAUGCAACAUGGCUGGAUUGUGUUGCAGCAAUUCAUUUCCUCUUUAAGAAGCCACUGUCACCUAUAAUUUAGGGAUUGACAUUUAUCAGCCUGAUGCAGACAGCUCCAAUGUCCAGGAUUUUCUUGAGAACAGAGCCAAAGAGUACAGUCAACCCACCUGAUGGGGGUAAGUAAAACCAGCCCCUUGACUCCUCCCAACAUUCUACCCAUUCCCCAAGCUCAUUGCUUGGUAUUGAGUUCAAGACUGGGUCGAACAAAUAAGGAAAUGGAGGCUCAGAGACCAGUAGCAUGUUUCCUAAGAUCACACAGCAAAUGAGUGACAAGGUCAGAAUUUAACCCCCCUUUUUUUUUAAAAAAAAACUUUUUCAAAAUUUUAUCAGUGCAUAUUAAUUAUAUAUAGUGAUGGCUUUCAUUAUGAAGUUUUCAUGAAUUUAAUGUAUUCUGAUAAUAUUAACUCCCAUUUUCCUUUCUUCUCCUCCCCACUCUUGCAGAUCAACUUGAUAUUUUUUGAUAUUACAUUGUUUCCUUCCUUCCUUCCUUCCUUCCUUCCUUCCUUCCUUCCUUCCUUCUUUCUUUCCAUAUUUCCUUCCUGCUUUUGUUCCUCCCUCCCUCUGUCCCUCCCUCUCUCUGUCCCUCCCUCCCUCCCUCCCUUCCUCUUCUCCUCCCAUCUUCCCUUCCUACAUCUCAAACAUGGUCCAACAUGUUGCCUUGAAUUCAAUAUGUAGCCCAGACUAGCGUUGAAAUCUUGGUGUCCCCCUGCCUCAGCCUACUGGGUGCUGGGAUUACAAGGGGUGCAUAAAUGUUCUAGUAAUAAUUGUAAUAAAAAUUCAGAACAGUGAUUAUUCUUUCAUUCACAGUUGAAUUGGUUUAUUUAUGUGUGGGGAAUAGUGGUUCCCAGGUGUGCCUAGAUGUGUUUGUGUGUUUCUACAUGUGUGGAAGUCAGAAAGCAACUUUAGGUGUCAUUCCUCAGGAGCUUUCUAUUUUGCCUAUGUAUGUAUGUA